UACGUAGGGGGCAAGCGUUGUCCGGAAUCAUUGGGCGUAAAGAGCGUGUAGGCGGCUUGGUAAGUCCGCUGUGAAAGUCCAGGGCUCAACCUUUGAAAGCCGGUGGAUACUGUGGGGCUAGAGUCCGGAAGAGGCGAGUGGAAUUCCUGGUGUAGCGGUGGAAUGCGCAGAUAUCAGGAGGAACACCAAUAGCGAAGGCAGCUCGCUGGGACGGUACUGACGCUAAGGCGCGAAAGCGUGGGGAGCGAACAGG
rnacentral:rRNA from 1 species